UGGGGAAUAUUGCACAAUGGGGGAAACCCUGAUGCAGCGACGCCGCGUGAAGGAUGAAGUAUUUCGGUAUGUAAACUUCUAUCAGCAGGGAAGAAAAUGACGGUACCUGACUAAGAAGCCCCGGCUAACUACGUGCCAGCAGCCGCGGUAAUACGUAGGGGGCAAGCGUUAUCCGGAUUUACUGGGUGUAAAGGGAGCGUAGACGGCAUUGCAAGUCUGGAGUGAAAACCCGGGGCUCAACCCCGGGAUUGCUUUGGAAACUGUGGAGCUGGAGUACCGGAGAGGCAAGUGGAAUUCCUAGUGUAGCGGUGAAAUGCGUAGAUAUUAGGAGGAACACCAGUGGCGAAGGCGGCUUGCUGGACGGUAACUGACGUUGAGGCUCGAAAGCGUGGGGAGCAAACA
rnacentral:rRNA from 1 species